rnacentral:rRNA from 1 species
ACAGGGUGACAGGUGGUGCAUGGUUGUCGUCAGCUCGUGUCGUGAGAUGUUGGGUUAAGUCCCGCAACGAGCGCAACCCUCGACCUUAGUUGCCAGCAUUCAGUUGGGCACUCUAAGGUGACUGCCGGCUAAAAGUCGGAGGAAGGUGGGGAUGACGUCAAAUCAUCAUCGCCCCUUAUGACCUGGGCUACACACGUGCUACAAUGGGCGGUACAAAGGGUCGCGAACCCGCGAGGGGGAGCCAAUCCCAAAAAGCCGCUCUCAGUUCGGAUUGCAGGCUGCAACUCGCCUGCAUGAAGCCGGAAUCGCUAGUAAUCGCGGAUCAGCAUGCCGCGGUGAAUACGUUUCCGGGCCUU